rnacentral:rRNA from 1 species
UACGUAGGGUGCGAGCGUUGUCCGGAAUUAUUGGGCGUAAAGAGCUUGUAGGCGGUUUGUCACGUUGUUCGUGAAAACCCACAGCUCAACUGUGGGCGUGCGAGCGAUACGGGCAGACUAGAGUACUGCAGGGGAGACUGGAAUUCCUGGUGUAGCGGUGGAAUGCGCAGAUAUCAGGAGGAACACCGGUGGCGAAGGCGGGUCUCUGGGCAGUAACUGACGCUGAGGAGCGAAAGCGUGGGGAGCGAACAGG